GAUGAACGCUGGCGGCGCGCCUAAUACAUGCAAGUCGAGCGAACAGACGAGGAGCUUGCUCCUCUGACGUUAGCGGCGGACGGGUGAGUAACACGUGGAUAACCUACCUAUAAGACUGGGAUAACUUCGGGAAACCGGAGCUAAUACCGGAUAAUAUAUUGAACCGCAUGGUUCAAUAGUGAAAGACGGUUUUGCUGUCACUUAUAGAUGGAUCCGCGCCGCAUUAGCUAGUUGGUAAGGUAACGGCUUACCAAGGCAACGAUGCGUAGCCGACCUGAGAGGGUGAUCGGCCACACUGGAACUGAGACACGGUCCAGACUCCUACGGGAGGCAGCAGUAGGGAAUCUUCCGCAAUGGGCGAAAGCCUGACGGAGCAACGCCGCGUGAGUGAUGAUGGUCUUCGGAUCGUAAAACUCUGUUAUUAGGGAAGAACAAAUGUGUAAGUAACUAUGCACGUCUUGACGGUACCUAAUCAGAAAGCCACGGCUAACUACGUG
rnacentral:rRNA from 1 species